rnacentral:SRP_RNA from 1 species
GGCAGCUAUGGUGUUGCCUGCCUGUAAUCCUUGCUACUGGGGAAGUCUAACGCUGGUGGAUUGCUUGAGUUUGGGAGCUCUGACCUGAAGUAGGGCUAAAGCCAAUCAAAGGUCCACACUAAGUGCAGCACCAAUAUGAUAAACCCCCAGGAGCCAGAGGGCCACCAUGCUGCCUAAGGAGGGAUGAACUAGCCCAGGUUAGAAAAACAGAGAAGGUUAAAGUUUCCCUUACUGAUCAGCACUGAGAUCAGGCUGUGAGGGGCCACUGCACUUUCAAUCUAGAUGAAAUAGAAAGACCUAGUU